rnacentral:misc_RNA from 1 species
GAUGAAGAACGUAGCGAAAUGCGAUACGUAAUGUGAAUUGCAAAUUCAGUGAAUCAUCGAGUCUUUGAACGCACAUUGCGCCCCCUGGUAUUCCGGGGGGCAUGCCUGUCCGAGCGUCAUUGCUGCCCUCAAGCACGGCUUGUGUGUUGGGCCCCGUCCUCCGAUCCCGGGGGACGGGCCCGAAAGGCAGCGGCGGCACCGCGUCCGGUCCUCGAGCGUAUGGGGCUUUGUCACCCGCUCUGUAGGCCCGGCCGGCGCUUGCCGAUCCACCCAAAUUUUUAUCCAGGUUGACCUCGGAUCAGGUAGGGAUACCCGCUGAACUUAAGCAUAUCAAUAAGCGGAGGA